GAUGAACGCUAGCGGCAGGCCUAACACAUGCAAGUCGAGGGGUAGCAGGAUUAAGCUUGCUUAAUUGCUGACGACCGGCGCACGGGUGCGUAACGCGUAUGCAACCUACCUUAUACUGGGGUAUAGCCCGGAGAAAUUCGGAUUAAUCCCCCAUAGUACUAAUGAAUCGCAUGGUUUAUUAGUUAAAGCAUUGCGGUAUAAGAUGGGCAUGCGUCCUAUUAGCUAGAUGGUGAGGUAACGGCUCACCAUGGCUACGAUAGGUAGGGGGCCUGGGAGGGUGGUCCCCCACACUGGUACUGAGACACGGACCAGACUCCUACGGGAGGCAGCAGUGAGGAAUAUUGGUCAAUGGGCGCAAGCCUGAACCAGCCAUGCCGCGUGCAGGAAGAAUGCCCUAUGGGUUGUAAACUGCUUUUAUUUGGGAAUAAACCUCUUUACGUGUAGAGAGCUGAAGGUACCAAAUGAAUAAGCACCGGCUAACUCUGUGCCAGCCGCCGCGGUAA
rnacentral:rRNA from 1 species